rnacentral:rRNA from 1 species
AGUGAACGCUGGCGGUAGGCCUAACACAUGCAAGUCGAACGGCAGCACAGUAAGAGCUUGCUCUUACGGGUGGCGAGUGGCGGACGGGUGAGGAAUACAUCGGAAUCUACUUUUUCGUGGGGGAUAACGUAGGGAAACUUACGCUAAUACCGCAUACGACCUACGGGUGAAAGCAGGGGAUCUUCGGACCUUGCGCGAUUGAAUGAGCCGAUGUCGGAUUAGCUAGUUGGCGGGGUAAAGGCCCACCAAGGCGACGAUCCGUAGCUGGUCUGAGAGGAUGAUCAGCCACACUGGAACUGAGACACGGUCCAGACUCCUACGGGAGGCGGCAGUGGGGAAUAUUGGACAAUGGGCGCAAGCCUGAUCCAGCCAUACCGCGUGGGUGAAGAAGGCCUUCGGGUUGUAAAGCCCUUUUGUUGGGAAAGGAAAGCAGCAGGUUAAUACCCCGCUGUUCUGACGGUACCCAAAGAAUAAGCACCGGCUAACUUCGUG